rnacentral:rRNA from 1 species
UACGUAGGGUGCAAGCGUUAAUCGGAAUUACUGGGCGUAAAGCGUGCGCAGGCGGUUUUGUAAGUCUGUCGUGAAAUCCCCGGGCUCAACCUGGGACCUGCAUUUGUGACUGCAUUGCUGGAGUGCGGCAGAGGGGGAUGGAAUUCCGCGUGUAGCAGUGAAAUGCGUAGAUAUGCGGAGGAACACCGAUGGCGAAGGCAAUCCCCUGGGCCUGCACUGACGCUCAUGCACGAAAGCGUGGGGAGCAAACAGG